AUUGAACGCUGGCGGCAUGCCUUACACAUGCAAGUCGAACGGCAGCACGGGAGCAAUCCUGGUGGCGAGUGGCGAACGGGUGAGUAAUGUAUCGGAGCGUGCCCAGUCGUGGGGGAUGACGCAGCGAAAGCUGUGCUAAUACCGCAUACGAUCUAUGGAUGAAAGCGGGGGAUCGCAAGAACUCGCGCGAUUGGAGCGGCCGAUAUCAGAUUAGGUAGUUGGUGGGGUAAAGGCCCACCAAGCCGACGAUCUGUAGCUGGUCUGAGAGGACGACUAGCCACACUGGGACUGAGACACGGCCCAGACUCCUACGGGAGGCAGCAGUGGGGAAUUUUGGACAAUGGGCGCAAGCCUGAUCCAGCAAUGCCGCGUGCAGGAUGAAGGCCUUCGGGUUGUAAACUGCUUUUGUACGGAGCGAAACGGCUUCCACUAAUACUGGGGGCUAAUGACGGUACCGUAAGAAUAAGCACCGGCUAACUACGUGCCAGCCGCCGCAGUAA
rnacentral:rRNA from 1 species